UCACGACCCGUGCUGACGACUGGAUGCAA
rnacentral:piRNA from 1 species